GUGGCUGUAGCUCAGUCGGUUAGAGCGCCUGGUUGUGGCCCAGGAGGUCGGGGGUUCGAAUCCCCUCAGCCACCCCA
rnacentral:tRNA from 1 species